GAUCUACGGGAGGCAGCAGUCGGGAAUAUUGCGCAAUGGAGGAAACUCUGACGCAGUGACGCCGCGUAUAGGAAGAAGUUUUUCGGAAUGUAAACUAUUGUCGUUAGGGAAGAGAAAGGACAGUACCUAAGGAGGAAGCUCCGGCUAACUACGUGCCAGCAGCCGCGGUAAUACGUAGGGAGCGAGCGUUAUCCGGAAUUAUUGGGUGUAAAGGGUGCGUAGACGGAAGAACAAGUUGGUUGUGAAAUCCCUCGGCUCAACUGAGGAACUGCAACCAAAACUAUUCUCCUUGAGUGUCGGAGAGG
rnacentral:rRNA from 1 species